UACAGAGGGUGCGAGCGUUGUUCGGAAUUAUUGGGCGUAAAGGGCGCGUAGGCGGUGCGGUAAGUCACCUGUGAAAUCUCCUGGCUCAACUGGGAGCUUGCAGGCGAAACUGCCGUGCUGGAGUGUGGGAGAGGUGCGUGGAAUUCCUGGUGUAGCGGUGAAAUGCGUAGAUAUCAGGAGGAAGACCGGUGGCGAAGGCGGUCUGCUGGGCAGUUUCUGACACUGAGGCGCGACAGCGUGGGGAGCAAACAGG
rnacentral:rRNA from 1 species